ensembl:lncRNA
AUGUUGUGCGUAGCAUGGACAACAAAAUGGACACUAUGCUGCAACAUUUCAGUGCCAAUGGAAGAUUUGGCGUUGCUUGACAACAGUUUGAGGCAGGAUAAAGAGCUCCAGGAACGAUUUCUUCGGUUUUUGGCAAUCAAAUGUGGGAGGGACCUAAAGACAACCGUCUGGCGGAUGCUUCAAAGUAUCUUCUCUAAUCACCUUUCCAUCAAUACAACCUGGACUGGAGUUGGGGAUAAAGCAUGUUUUAGAGACAUGUUCCUGAAGACCAUUGUUCAAAGUAAGUUGGAUGUAAAAAAAAAAUAUGUUUAGUAGAUGUGUAUGGCAUUAUGCCAUUCAAAUGUAAUGACAGAUCUGUAUUUUCUACAGGAGCCAUCCGGAAGAACCCGGCAACACAGGAUGCCACUGAUGAAGCCAUCCAGGUUAACGUUACGCGUUACCUGAAAGGAGCAUCUGACCGUGAAGGCGGAAAAAGGCGCCGCACAGCUGAGAGGGACCCACAGCCGACCCCUUAAACCUAGGCUGACUACUGACAUCCCAGCAUCACUGACAACUGGAACCCUUUCUUUAUCCUGCAGUCAGUAACAUCAAGACCCCUAAAGAAGCCAGAAGUGUCAGACUGCACUCCCCAAUCCACACUGUUCACUGUGGAUAUUAUCAUAGUGCUUAACUUAUUAUAUUGUUAAAUAUAGCUUGUAAAUCCUUGUGCCACAGGUCAGCAUUGCAGUUAUAUCUGUUCUACUACUUUUUUUACCUCAGUAUUUUUUAUAUAUAUUUGAAGAUGUUUAUCACAGAUACAAGAGACAUCUUGUACCCCAGGUCAGCAAUGCCAUUAUAAUGGUCUAUUCUACUCCAGAGCUUUAUUCUAAAUUAUUACCACUUAUCUUAUUGUUAGAAAUGGCUUGUAAAUGUGAUGUUAUACCUGAAUUUUUUUUGGUGUCCUGCACAUUCUUUGGUACCAGAUAUACUCAUUACUUAUGUUUACUGGUAAUUCUUUUCAUGCCAGAGCUGACCUCUUUAUAUUAUUAACAAUUAUUGUAAGUGUUAUAAUUUGCUUGUAAGCUAAGGCUGUUUUUUUUUUUAACAAUUUAAUUGGAAACCUGCAUGUGUGUGUGUGUGUGUGUGUGUAUUUAUUUUUUUUUUUUCUGUUAUUUAUAUUUCAGGGAUCUGACAUCAUGUUUCAAUGACAGUUACUGUACUUUGAAAUGUGGAAUUAAAACGUCAAAUGGAAAUUUGUCUGGUUUGAUCAAUCAUUAUUCUUGAUAAACUGCAUAAUAUAUAUAUAUAUAAUAUAUAUAUAAAUAAAUAAAUAAGCAAGCGGCGACCGAUCGCUCGAAAAUAGCGUUUGCCUCCGACGGGCCGCGGAAGGGUCGCCUUUGAUAUAACGGCGGCGGGACGGCGGUUGGCCCGCGGGCCGGCCGCGGAACGAAGGCGGUAGGAAGGCGGCUGCCGCUUCUAAAAAGCGGCUGCCGCCGGCGGUGCACCGUCAAACGUGUUUGCGAUUACGCUAUUCUGACGCUUCUACUGCCGCCGGAGCGCCGCCGGCGGUCCGCCGACUCAUUGCUAUCUGGGCUGUUGCCACACCCACCCCCCCAGUUGAACUGCUGACUAGUUAUCAACUUUUUCGUUGUUGUCAUGACCGCGCACGCACGUGCAUACCAGACCCACUGGGAAGGAACUUUUAGAUGCAUGUCUUCCAAUUCGAAAAAUGGAGAAAGUGAGCCACCGCCAUCAUCAAUUAAAAAAGCGAAGGUGUGUUCUGUUGCAAACUGUUUUUUAUUUUUAUUUAUUUAUUAUGCGCCUGCCUUUACUAACAUGCAAGUUCACAAUCCUUUCUCCCCCUUCUCGUCCCGUGAACCUCUGGAGUAGUGAGUUUAUCUUUUUUUUUUUUUUUUUUUUUUUUACUGUUCCUGUGGUGUUGAGCAGCUACAAUUCAUUUUAAUCCUAUAAUUUUAUAUUAUAAUUUAUUUAAAGUGAAUAAAUUGUAAUGCAAAAUAAAUAAAAUAGCUAAAGUAAAUCGUAAUACGUGGAAGUGCAUCUGUCAAUUCUGUCAUGAGCAUACAUCAGCAAUUACACAUGUUUAGGGGAAUAGAGCAUUAUUAAUAUACCAUGUAAGGUGGUAUGUGCUAGAAAUAGGUAAACCACUAUCAGUGAGUCUGUCCAUGGGGUGGGGGCACCGCCGCGCAAGGCAGUGUCCCACAUUGUCCCUCAGAAACAUACCCAUGGGCUUAUUAGCAGGUGGUCACCCUACACGCACAUUAUAGUAGAAGUGCAAAAAUGAAAGCGAGAAAAGUCCUCUUGUUAUUAUGUCUCAAUCCUGGGCGUCUAAACGAACAUUUCAAUCUUGGCCUGACCGCGAAUAGUUUUUUUUUUUUUUUUUUUUUUGACCCCGCUUUGCUUCACAACAGAUGAGUCAUGGCAGUGCGCAGUUAGCACGGACUGAAAUUCACUCGUUCUUGGCAGUUCUUGGACCGUUGCUUUUCCUUUUAACUACCUGUGAAAUUGCGUCGCUAUUAUAUCUGAAGAACCGACCGGUUUAUAAUUCAGAAUCUGCAUUCAUUUUCC